ACUUAUUCUAGUGGACUAUUUGGAAGGCCAGAAACAACCUUAUCUUUCGGCACAUUCAGUUUGACCCAGUAUUUGCGGUGCACAGGCUCCAGCAACUGAUUGACUAUUGGAAGGAUUUUCUUUGACCCUGUUUUAGCAAUAAGCAAGCUCUUGCAACUGAUUUUUCUUUUUUUUCCCCUCUUGAGGUCUUGGUUGUCUCACUCCUGUAGUCUAAUUCAUAUUUUUAAUAAAUGAAGUAAGUAGCGUACUACCUAUUCUCAAAAAAACUUAUUAUGAUCUAAACAACAUAAUAUAAACACAUUAAAUAUUUUUUUCAUCAUACCUUUUUUAUUUGCUGUAAUAAUUCUCUGCAAUCUCAUCAUUCGGAGGCAUAGUUGGAUUAGACGUUACUCUUUAAUCGGGCUACAGGUUCAGUGCAGGUUAAAAAAAAGGGAAAACUUCAAAACCCCCCCUGUGGUUUCGUGCAUUCUCACUUUGCUACCCUGUGGUUUAAAACGUAUCAAUUUACCCCCCUGUGGUUUUAUUUUUAUCUUUUCGGAAGCUUUUUCGUUAAUAUUUCGUUAAAUUAUAUACAAAAAACUUCAGAUAACCAUCUAUAUUUAUCGAAUAGUCACUUUAGUAUCCUUUAAUUUUAACUUUGUCACUGAUUUUAAAAAAUAAUAAUAAUAAAAUUGAUAAUAAAAAGAUAAAAACGAAACCACAGGGGGGCAAAUUGAUACGUUUUAAACCACAGGGUAGCAAAGUGAGAAUGCACGAAACCACAGGGGGGUUUUUGAAGUUUUCCCAAUAUAAGAUUCAUUUACUUUUCUAGUCUCUUUACAAAAAAAAUUUCCUAUCUAAUCUCUUUUUGAAAAAUAUUCCAAAUCUAGCCUCAUUUUUAUAGAUUAGAAAAAAAAAAUGGUAAGAUAAUAAUUUUUAUAUAGAUUAAUAUGUUAAGUGGGUGAAGAUUAUUUUUUUUUUCUCUUCUUUUAAAUUAAGUGAAUGUAAAGUGAUUUUAUAUAUGAGCACUUAAUAAAAAUUUUAUUUAUUAAUAAUAAUAAAUAAUAAUAUUUCUAAAUUAUAAAUUUUUAUUAGUACUACUAGUACUUAAUUUAAUUAUACAAGUCAAUAUAAUUUAAAAGUGUUCAUAUAUAAAAUCACAUUACAUUCACUUAAUUUAAAAAAAAAGAAAAAUAAAAUAAUCUCCACCCAAUUAAUAUAUUAAUCUUUAUACAAAUUAUUAACUUAUCAUUUUUUUUCUAAUUUAUAAAAUUAGUUUCAUGAGUACAAUUUGUUCUAUUAUUGGCUCAAUCAGUAUAGACAAUGUCUAACCAUGUACCACUCUGAACUAUGUAAUUUUUGGCUGAUUAAGCCGUUGCUAUCACGUAUUUACUUAUUAGAGAUUUUAGAGUCCUGCAUCUUUUAUAGGUAUUUUCUCCGUACAAAAAGGGUGAUUGUGAGUUUAGUUAUCUACGACUGCUUGUUAAUUAGAUCAAAUUUUCCCGAAAACUCUUUUUCUUUUUUUUAGAAAAAGAUAAUAUACUAUCCAUUUUAUUUUUUUUUUAAAAAAAAUAAACUUAGCUGAAAAUAUGAAUCAAUUAGGAUUCGAAUUUGGGAUCCUCAAUACCAACCAUCAAGCUUUUUACUAUUUACGCUAGGAAUAGUCGAUCUCACGAACUUACUAUUAACUGUAUAAGCCUACGGCCUAU
rnacentral:lncRNA from 1 species